AGUGAACGCUGGCGGUAGGCCUAACACAUGCAAGUCGAACGGCAGCACAGUAAGAGCUUGCUCUUACGGGUGGCGAGUGGCGGACGGGUGAGGAAUACAUCGGAAUCUACUUUUUCGUGGGGGAUAACGUAGGGAAACUUACGCUAAUACCGCAUACGACCUACGGGUGAAAGCAGGGGAUCUUCGGACCUUGCGCGAUUGAAUGAGCCGAUGUCGGAUUAGCUAGUUGGCGGGGCAAAGGCCCACCAAGGCGACGAUCCGUAGCUGGUCUGAGAGGAUGAUCAGCCACACUGGAACUGAGACACGGUCCAGACUCCUACGGGAGGCAGCAGUGGGGAAUAUUGGACAAUGGGCGCAAGCCUGAUCCAGCCAUACCGCGUGGGUGAAGAAGGCCUUCGGGUUGUAAAGCCCUUUUGUUGGGAAAGAAAAGCAGCAGGUUAAUACCCCGCUGUUCUGACGGUACCCAAAGAAUAAGCACCGGCUAACUUCGCG
rnacentral:rRNA from 1 species